rnacentral:rRNA from 1 species
GAUCCUGGCUCAGGAUGAACGCUGGCGGCGUGCCUAACACAUGCAAGUCGAGCGAAGCACUUUGCUUAGAUUCUUCGGAUGAAGAGGAUUGUGACUGAGCGGGCGACGGGUGAGGUAACCGCGUGGGUAACCUGGCCUCAUACAGGGGGAUAACAGUUAGAAUGACUGCUAAUACCGCAGUAAGACCACAGCACCGCAUGGUGCAGGGGUAAAAACUCCGGUGGUAUGAGAUGGACCCG